rnacentral:rRNA from 1 species
GACGAACGCUGGCGGCGUGCUUAACACAUGCAAGUCGAACGGCAAGGCCCUGCUUUUGUGGGGUGCUGGGGUGCCGAACGGGUGAGUAACACGUGAGUAACCUGCCCUUGACUUUGGGAUAACUUCAGGUAACUGGGCCUAAUCCCGGAUAGGAGCUCCUGCUCCAUGGUGGGGAUUGGAACGUUUCGGCGGGUGGGGAUGGACUCGCGGCUUAUCAGCUUGUUGGUGGGGUAGUGGCUGACCAAGGCUUUGACGGGUAGCCGGCCUGAGAGGGUGACCGGCCACAUUGGGACUGAGAUACGGCCCAGACUGCUACGGGAGGCAGCAGUGGGGAAUAUUGCACAAUGGGCGGAAGCCUGAGGCAGCAACGCCGCGUGCGGGAUGACGGCUUUCGGGUUGUAAACCGCUUUCGCCUGAGACGAAGCGUGAGUGACGGUAAUGGGUAAAGAAGCACCGGCUAACUACGUG